CAUGUGCUGCUGUGUUAGAAGGAGGUGGGGUUGCAACAUGUCCCUGGGCUUGGGGUCUGUGCAGUGCGCUCACCAAGCAGAUGCAGAAACAGACCAAAGCUCCGCUCGCUUCCUCGGGGGAAAGCAAACACAAGCAGGCUAACUACUUGCCUUUAAAGCUCCCUGGCUCUCUUGCCUGACAUAGCAAGCUGAGUGUUACACAGCACCCUGCUCAGUAACAGCACUUGGAGGGAAAGCAAAACUGGAAUAAAGAAGAUGUGUGAGAAGAAAAGGAGACCUGUUAGUCACUGCCUUCAGUUCUCCUGUCCUCAUCUCCACCAGGUUGCAGGGGGCUGCAGACAUCACCACGAGCUGAAGCUCUCCCAGGAGCUGACCAGCAAGCCCCCCUCUAUCAGUGUCCUCCAGCACGUCCCCAGCUGGCACAGCCUCUGCUGCUCCUUCUGGUUUGCUUUCCCCAGCCUCCUCCCUUCAUCUGUAAGGAAAUGAUCAGAGAGGAGAAAGACGACGCAGUGUUUCCAAGUUCGAAAUUAACUUAAACUGGGUGGAAAUUUAAUCCUUUCUCUCCAGAGAUAAACGGAGGAGGAGGCUGUGGACAGUUGCAGUCUUCAAUUGAAAUAUUUAGCAGCAGCACAGGAAGCUACUGUUUCCACCAUGACAGAUUACAGACGAGAGCGCCUAAUCUCUGAUCUGCUACGCUAAAAAACAAUUAUUGUCUUCCCUCCCAGGGAGAGCCUUAUCUUUUCCUGGCUACAUAAUUUCAGAUGUCAGCUGGAAUUUCUGCAUUAUCUCGGCGGAUCACGCUGGCUCUUCACGUAUCCUACAUUUCAACCUCCUCCCCCGUUGGCCUUGGGCUGAUCUGGAUCUGGAGUUUGUCUGGUAUCAAUACCACACUUAGCUGCCCGUCUGCCAGUGCAGAGAGAAACACUGAGCCUGUUCUCCUCCAGCAUCUUUCAUAUCUAACCCCGUGACUGAGCAGUGAAGUAUUACAAACAAGCACUGACGGCGCAUCCAGUGGGACAGCACAGGUGCAACUCAGCCUGCUUUCCUCCCUCCUCUCCCGACCUCUGAAGACACUCCUGAAUCUGAAAUCCUGAUCUGAAGAUCCUCCUCCCACCUCCGGUCAAAGAGAGCUGUUCCUACACACUCGGCGGUGCUGAGUGCUCCCCCAGCCCCAGCUCCCCUCUCCCCUUACUUUUGGUUGCAAUUUAUACCGUCCUAGAGGUGAGGUUAUGCUGAAGAGCAGCAGAUGCUAUAUACCCAUUGGCUUGCUCAGAGGAUGACCGUGCUUGCUGUGAUGUUAGACGAGCUGAGGGGGUACGUUGGGCAGGGCUAUGUGGAGGCUAGCAGGGGAGGACAAAUACACCAAAUUUGACAAUAGAAGGAACUGACCAGAAGGCACUGACCAAGGCUCUUUAGAAAGCAAGAGUCAUGACCAGAAUUAACAGGAAAAGAUUUUAGCUCUGAAGAGAGCUCAGACAAAAAAACUCGAUACACAAAGAUGUACCUGGAUGCAAUAAAUACGCAUCCUUUCAUCCUUUCCAUGCUCACUGAAGUCAGGCACGACAAACAUGCCCGUCGGUGCGCUCCCCUUGCACAGGACAGCCAGAUACGGGGAACCAAACCUGCAUCUUCUUCCUGCAUCACCUGCUGACACAAUUUCACACUCACCUGCCAGGCUGUAGCUGUGACUUUUAUGGAGGACUGUCUCACAGGGUUCUCCAGAUUGGCCCUUGUCACAGCAUCUCUUACCCCUCACAACUUCUCUCCCUCUUUUUCAGUUUGUCUCCCCUUGACAGCAACGUAGGCUGCUCUAACUGCCCAGACCUUCGUUACUUAAUUCUGGGGAAGCCAUAAAGGAACAGAUAAAUUUCCAAGGCCAGCUUAGACUGCAACGCAGGAUGACUCAAUAAAGUAACAUCUCCCACAUCGACACCUACACUUUGCCCUCACAGACUGCUGCAUCCUUCACCUUUCUCAUUGUCUCAGUUUUCUUCAUCAGUAACACUUUGCAUUUCUUGAGCAUUUUCCACCUAGAGAUCACGUACACAGCUGCAGACAGACAUGAAUGAAGCUGCUCAGCAUCCCACAGAUUCAGAAGAAACAGAGAACCAAUAGUUUUAAAACUUGCAAGCUAUAGAGCAAAGGUUCCCCCCCAAAAUGUUAAAGCAGGCUCUGUGAGUGGUCUCAAAGGAGCAAGUCUCUGCCCUGCUCUGGUUUUUAUACUGGUGAGCUUUCCUAGGGGCACAUGAGGAGGGUCUGAAAAUCCCUCCUAAGUGCAGCUGGGGCUGUGUUAAUGGCAUGGCAAUGACGAAGGAGGAGACAAUCCCCCGAAUGCCAGUGUGGAAACUGCACGGAUACCCAGAGACAGAGAUGCUGGUUCAGCUGACAGUGGGUCUUGUUAUCCGUCUGCCUUGGGAGACUUUCUCUGCCAGGAGUUCUACCUCAAAAUUCCCCAAGUGGUACUUCUACCAGCCCAAGCCCUUAAAAUCACACAAGCAAAAUUCCCCCGCAUAUCCGCACCCCAGGCAAUCACUGGUAAAAAACACUGUUGCUUUUAGUUUUCAGACUUAGCCUACUGCUCCUUCUCCUAUGCAAUGGUAAACAGCAUUCCAGUGGUUUGACCUUUCUGGCAGAACUGAUGUCAGCACAAGAAAACAAUAAUAUUUCUUACCCCUGCUGUUCAGAACACACUUAAAAUGAACAGGAAAAAAAAAAAAAAAAGUAAGAUUAAAAAAAAAAAAAAGAAAGCCAGCCUCUUCAGGCUUUGUACUGUCCAAUCUAUAUUGGAUGUUGUCUGUCCGUCCCUGUGAGGACCGACUGCCACGGCUGUGGCAACCCUGGACCAUCUGGUGAAGGCAUCACCAAGUUCAUCAAACUAACAUCAACUCUGAAUGUGCUGUACUGUCUGUAAGGAGAAGAGACCCAUGCUCUACCUGCAAAAUACAAAAAUACCUAGGAAGACUGCAAAAACUCACAUCUCCACAAGAUGCAUUAAAAGAGCACUUUGUUGACUUGGUUUGGUUUUGGGAAGCUCUCGGCACAGCGCACAGCCCCAGUACACCCAGCAGGAUCAGCUAGCCAUGUUCAAUCGUGUGGAACCACAUUCGGCUGAGACGAUCUGACCUGCCUUCCCUCUUGGGAUUUCAGCGCUGGCCCUUGUUGUGCUGAAAGCUUUGCACCACGCAGCACAGAGGCACACCUGAGAACAGUGCGUUUGGACACCAAUUGUAUCCCAGCCUCCAGAAAGUAAGGGGGAAAACAAAUUGCCCAUCAUAACACGGUCUCUGAACCAUGUAGAUACACACACACACGCUCAGGAAGUUUCACUCCCACCUCCCAAGGCAGCAGUGUGUUACACACCUAUAGGUUACACACCUAUCCCGGUGCUUGUGGCACAUGCCUGCUGGGCAGAGCAGCCCACCCGCACCAGAUGAGAUGUCACCGCCGUCCUGAGGGAAAAUGGAAGAGGCUGCAAACAACUGCACAGACUUCUUCCCUUGGCACUGGCAGACACACUUGUGGCCCAGCAUCCCUCAGCACGUGUCAGUGCGAGGCAAAGGCGCUGCCCCAGCAGGGCCCAGCACUGUGACUGCUGGGCUGCACUGCUGGGGGAGAUGGGGAAAGCUGCACAGCAUUUGGCAACACCACGUUUGUUGGAGCUGGUGUGAUUAGCACUUCUUUUUCUUAACCUGCCUUUUCCUCAGAAGUGUGAAUAAUCAGAGGCUGGAGGGAUUUUCUGGUCUUUGCUUUCUGCUUGGAUGAUACAGGGGCUCAGCGGACUGAAUGUGCUUAACAGACGGGGAUGCACACCUUGUACUCAUGUUUAUGGCUCUGAAAUGCUCAAGCCCAAACCAUUAGAAAAAGGGUUUGUGUAUUUAGCCUGUCUCUGGGGAACAGAGUACAGGAAAGGAAAGGCAAAACCUGCCAGAUAUUGAAGGCCUUUCCUUAUAAACUCAGGGCUAUUUUUAGUUUUCUAAUGUAAAAAGUCAGUGAGAUGAAGAGUGAAGUGAUCCGUUUCCAGCAGAAUAAAUGCCUGAAUCUUCAUUAAUAAUUCCUCAUAGAUGGCUGUGUGCCUUUAUCUGACAGACUGACAAGCCACGCUAAACAACAGUUACUGCACAAAUGGAAAAGAUAUCAUCUCCCUACCCAGCCUCGUGGUGCUCCCAUUGUCAUGUUACAUUAGGACCGGAGUCUCCACCUUCCCACAGAGACGUGGCGGCAGGCUUAUUUUAUUAGGACUUGCACAAACGUGCUUAUGAUGGAUGAAGUUUAGUGCUUUGACACGGAAAUGUAUUUGGAAACUGGAGCUGAUGCAUGAUACGAAGAAGGGGAGGGAAGAGAAAAAACAAGAACCCAAAUGCAUAAUCUUACCCUCGAUCUGCCUGUCAGUGAUAAUUAGAAAGGGCCUCUAUCAAAAUCUUAGCUGCAAGCUGCUCAGAGGAUGGGAUUUCAUAGUUCCCAGCUACAUGCCCAAGCUGUCUUUUACAAGGCUGGGUUAGUGGAAGUCAGCGACAGAAGGUCUAUUCCUGGCCUCGAUUGCCUUGUAAAACAGGCGCCUGCUCCUUACAGUAGCUCUCCUCACCUAUGAGGCAGUGGAAAGGAAGACACUUGCCUUCUGCCACACCCUCACAUCUGAGGGCAGAACAAGUUGGUUCGUCUACAUGGUGCUGAAACCAAGCCAAAACCUGUCCAGCCUUUGGACCGGUUCAGACUGGGGUCCCCACUCGAGGGGCUGAGUCCAUCCCAGCUGCUGGGGGAAGCGGCGUGAGCUCAUCUGCAGCACCCAUCUGUGACAGCGACUCUGCAGGGGAAAGGACUUUACAAGCUGCUGCUCUGGGCCAACUUUGAAAUGACAAACACACCCUCUGCUACUGGACUGUUUACUUUCCUCCCUCUUCCCGAUGUUAUCGGUAUUUCCUAAACCCUGCCUGUCAGGCAUGCUUUGUUAAUAACCCUCCAGUACUUUCAGAGCAAAGGUUGCCCAACAGCUUUCUCAUCUUCCUGCUGGCUGUCAGGAGAGGAAAUCACAGCUUUCAGGAGAACCUGACACAGAGGGAACUGGAUAGCACGCUGGGGUCAAGGGUAAGAAUGCACGAAGAAGUGAGAAAGCGCAGGCACCCCGACCGGCUGCACAGGAAGAGCUUUGCCUCUGCUUUCCCUUGUUUACUAUGUCAGGAUGUUCCAGGAAGAAACUCAGCAGGCUUCACCUCUGAAACAGCCAGCCAAGCACAAAUCCCCGCUCACAAUGCGGCACGAGGGAGCCAAAGGACAGCUAACAAACUUGGCCCAAGCUUGUGACAUGACUUAGGUCUUUCCUCUUAAACAAAGGGGUCUGAAAGUGCUGUAGACAACACUGCCAUCGCUUCACACAGCUGUUACCUUCCUUCUCAACUUUACUGCCAUCUCUGAGAUGUCCCAGUCAAAGCUGAGGCACUGAUGUGCCAGCAGAAUGCAUUUACAUCCACCUACCUCAGCGAAGGAGCCUUUGAGGGCUAAGAGGCCCUUCCUGAGACUACCAGUCAGAGGAAGAAAAAAUGAAGCAAGGUUUGGAAAGGAAAUUGCUUUAAGAUGUGCUUCUGCAUGAAACACAUAGUGAGACUCUCUGGUCAACCAGCUUGUCCGCAGGUACAUUCAGGUCACAUCUACCAAGGUGGGACAAACAAGGAGACCAAGGAUCAAACAUUCACCAGGGCUGGAGCUGGCUGAAAUAAGAAGGGCCUCUAACCACACUGCGUUCAGAAGUCUCAGCAAGGGGCAUAAUGGACUCUCCAUCGAUGGAAGAUGCUAAACCAAGAGUGGGCACCUUCCUAGCUCCAUCAGAAAUACCAACCUGCUGAGCUGCUGUGAGGGACCUGUGUUCGGAGGGAGACUGGGCCCGAUGCCACGACUCCCUUUUCUCUGGAAAAUCUGGGUCCCCAGUCUCUUUUGAUAUCUUCUGGCAGUAGGAGCCCAUUCAUGUCUCCCCCACACACUGCUUCAAUCAGCUCUAAUUAGGCAGACUGUGUCUGAGCAUAAAUGAGAUCCCCAGUCACAUCCCUUUUAAAAUACAACCAUCUCACAUUUUGUGAGUCAAAUGGAGUUUUGCUGGAGAAUUAAAAGGAGCGCUGCAGUGCAGCAUUGAGUGAUUCACAGGAUAAAGUUUCCAUGCGCUGCUCAAGAAAACCAGAUAGAAUUGAGCUUGAAGGAGUGAGGAAUGGCUGUGUUUCAAAUUACCUCAGUUCAGAUUUAAUAAAAAUUCUCAAAACAGAAAACUGGAAGUCAUUACAAAAAUCGUGCUUUUCCCUCAUGAAGAUUUUUAUAAAAGUGACAAGGCGAAGAAAGGGUUGAUAAUGGUUAUCUGUUGUAAAAGUUUAUAAUGUACUUGCUGGGGAAAGAAAACAAAAGAGCAUUCUUCAACAAAUAACUGAAUCCCACAGGAAAAACUAGGAAAAACCAAAACAAAACAAAUACAUGCAAACAAAAAAACAGGAAAAGCAGACCCAAAACAGUUUUCUCAGAACACAAUUUUCUGCUGGAAGGUGGAUAUAAUUAUCUGUCAUAACAAAUUACAACGUUAUGUUGUAACAUUUAGUUAUGAGCAAGAAAAAAAAAAAAGCACCUGUAAUCUCAAUAGCUAUUAUGUAAAGCAUCUGUACACAACUGGAAUGUCACCCACUUGACCUAACUAAUACCUACCACCGCUUAGGAUUGUCCUUAUUGCCCGAGUCCAGAGCAGCUCAGCAGUACUUCAGUACUUCACUGAGUAGGAACUGAGGCACAGACAGCAGCAAUGGCUUCAGCAGCACCGCAGAGGCACACAGCACCCCCCAAUCCUGAGUAUGCGCUGGGCCAUGGCAGACCACUGGGCAGAGAUGGCAAAAAGUAAACUGUGAAUGUGAAGUGGAAACCCCUUACCUUCACAUAUUUUAAGUUGCUUGGCUCACAUAAAUUUGACAUUGUUUUGUUUUCCCAUUAUUGGGAAAAAUAGGGAAGGGAAAAAUAGGGAAAAGGGAAAAAGGAGAGGGAAGAAGCCAUUCAGCCUUUGGGAUCCACCUGAGCACCAGACAGAAGCCUCUCAGGGACUCGAAACAUUGAGUGAUUUUGAUCUUCCUGUUAAUUGUUUCAAAUUUGUUUUUCAGAUAGCACAAGAAAGCCAAGGCAGUACCCAGGGGAGAGGCUGGCAGCUGUUCAAAGACCAGCCUCUGGAAUAUCUGACAAUGUUGAGCACAAGUGUCCAGGAAAAAGAAAAAUAAGCAGGCACAGGGAGAAGUCUAUGGAGAAGCAAGCUACAAAGUAAUCAGCCACCCCAUAUACUGAGCACACUUUCCAAGAGCAUUCACAACCUUUGCCUUAACUGCUGUCCUUACCUUCCCUGCACAACGAUGGCUUCAACUGUUAGAAGCCAGCUGCAUUUCCUAUACCCCAAGUCAAGGCUGGCGCAUGCAGGAGCAAGUAUCUACAGAUUGAGACAAAAAUCAAAACCAAAAAAUAUUGUCCGUCUGCAAACUAAUUAGAAAUAUACACAGCUGAUCAGGGUGGUAAGACAAGCCAAAAGAGCAACUGAGAGGAAGAAAUAAAUAAAUGUGUGAUGUACUUAAGAGGAAAUGAAUGCCAUAGGAAAAAAGCAAGCUUCAGUUACAGGAGCAGGGAUUGCUACCCUUUCAAUUUCAAAAUGUUCUUUAAAUUGCCAUUAUUCUGGAGAAACUUUUCUAGCGAAUAGCUGGCUUGGCUUUGAAAAUAUCAUUAAACUUAACUCAAGAUUCCAAGAAAAUAUAAAGGGUUAAACAUACAAGGUAGGUAAUUAAAUGCCAAACCAUUCCCCGUGAAUUAAAGAAGCCUACCAGAUCAUAAUGGUGCAGAACCAGGGUCCUGAAGGUGAAGCUCAGCUGUAGGCCCUCCUGCACCCUGUCCUCAAGCCACUGAUUACAGAUACAGGAGGGAGGUACCUGGGCAGAGGCUACUCUGCACUCUCAGGUUUUCUCUUCUUCUUUGCUAAUAACUCUCAAAGUCCAGACCAUGGUACUGACCAGUUUUGGUGAACUGCAGUUGAGUGACUAGAAGGAUGAAUAAUGUCUCAGUAUUAAGACAAAUGCAGGAUAAAAACAAGCAAACAAAAAAGUUUGGAUUAUGGACACUUGUGUUUUACAUGGAACGCAAUAUUUAAACAAAUAUAUAGCAAUGGAAGGAGCUCUGGAGAUGUACAAGGGAGAAAUAGGCCUGCUUAGGCCACAGGAGAAGUACUUCUCCCUCCAAAUUUCUCCGAAUGAGCACCAGCAAGAUACUUUUAGUCAAGGAUCUUUCUACCACUGCUCAUGGAAAAGAGUAAGUUCAGUAGCUGCCUAUGAUAAAACGGACAUUACAAAAAAUACAGAAGAACCGCACCCUAAAAGUUCCAAAUCAAAUUUUGGGACUUUGCAUGAAUUACUUGCAGAAUGUAACUGAUCUUGGUGGGUUUAGUCUUCCUUCUAGUCAUUAAGUCAUGGAGUACACAGAACAUACUUUGUGUCCUCUAUUAUUCACAAAGCUGUUUUGUACAAAGCCCGUUUCUGCCUAUAAACUCACGGUCAACUGCCUCAGUUACCUCUUGCAAAUUCACUGCUUUUGUGGUGUCACUGAAAUCACACAGCACUGGUUUUCACUUUGAUGAAGUGACCACCAAACUCUAAAGCAUUUAAACAAUGCCCUCGGGAGGCUACAGAACUGGAACUUGGACAGAUCAUCGUAAGGUCAGAUCUUCCCUGUCUCUGGGUUAACAGCAAGCACAUUCAGAGAAGCUGCAAAUACCCCAGAGAAUUGUCUUUUCCCUACAGUGACAGCUCCUCAUGAUAUUACUCUGUGAUAAUCUUCUACUAAGAUCCAGAAUCAGGAGCUCUUCUUUGCAUGUAUGUAACCACACACAGCCCCCAAUACAAAACACUGACAGUGAAACUACGCAGCCUCAACAAGGUAGCAGAAAGCUGUGUGACUUCAGCCUAUAAAGGCAAGCACGUAGGUAUCACGACUUGCUGACACAGGAACUGAAUUUGUAUCUCCUGUUUCUCUCCCCUCACACCCACAAAAUCUCUCCUAACCACAUGACAGAAUCUCUUUCAACUGCAUUUAAAGACCACUCAACAGGCAGAAGUGAUUUCAACUCAUCUACUGCUGGUAUGUGUGACAACUUCUUUCCUUCCAGAGGCAGAGGCUGUAAGUUGGGAGGAACACAGGUACCAAGCAGGAGCACACCAUCCAAACCAAGCAAAGCCAGCUAAUUAGCGUAACAACAAACAGGAGGAAAGGCUCAAGAAAGGGAGACUACAGAAAUGAGCAGAAAAGCAGCACUUAACCAAAUGGAGCCAUGUAAGAGUCAGGGUCUAGGUCAGCCAGUUCUAUGGAAUAAUUUCAAGAAUGCACAAAAAAUAGAAAAAUUAGUCUUUGGCAGUGUGUAGCAUGCUCCCCUUUUAGAUCAAGAAUCUACACAGAGAGCAACCCCUCAAGAGAAAAGGGCUGAAGCAUCAUUCCCAGAAGAGAAUACAGAAGCCACAUUGCCCAGGAUCUUCCUAAAUAUCUUGUGAGGAAAAGGCUGUUCCUGGUGAGGGCGGAGAUCUUUGUGCAAAACUGAGGGACAGAUGCGAGGAGGCUCUCAAGCAGGUUGUCCAGCAGGAAGGAUGUUUGUUCUUCUGGGGAGAAAUCAACACAAACUCCUUUGCUAAACUAGCCUUAUGCUUAUCACCUCCACAUAACAAUCCAGAUUGUAGAGGAUAAAAUAACUCCAAACUGCUGAUGGCUGGCAAACACUGUCCCUUUAACAGCCAAAAAAAAAAAAAGCCAGAGUAAGAGUCCCUCCUGCCUCUCACACCCAGGAUAGGCUCUCAAAUAAAAGUGCUAUUUGUACCAGAAUCCAAGGAUAGCAACAAGUCUCUUCCUAAAUUACACAAAAACCUUUUUUUUUUUUUUUUUUUUUCCUCCCAGCUACCCACUCCUUUCCUCUUCCUCCUUUUUACGUGCUUCAGUGGGCCCCACAGGUUAACAGUCUCCAGCUGUGUCCACUCACCAGACACUUAUCCCUCAGCUGUCCGCUCCCAGCUCUGCAGACCUGACACAAAGUGGAGUUUUGGCCUUGGCUCAGAUGUUGCACUGAUAAGGACCAUGGAAAUACCUUCAGUUAAAAUAAACAAUAUUACAUCAGCCUCUUCCAUUUUAGGAUACCCAAGUCACCAAAGCAUAAGCUCUAGCCUCUGUCUUACCUCCCUGCCUCACUGGCCUUUUAGAAAUCAGAAAACACCGUGUUUACAGCCUUUCUGGAGAGGGAUUCUGUGAGUGUGCAGCAGCAGCAGCAAGCACUUGUGGAUCUUAAAACGCAAAUUGCCACACAAACCAGCUGGCUGUGCGUGAUCUUCACCAAAAUGGUGAACAACACCUGAGGACCUCAUCCUGGAAAGUACAUGUUUAUCUAAAAUUUAGCCCUUUCUCCUCUGCUGGAGAGAGCCUAUUCACUGUUGUGCUUCUCAACGUGCAGCUCAGAAGGCAGAAAGGUAAGAGCAGUCAGCAGUACGGGAAGCCUGCAUUGGGCUCUCUGGACAAGGCACUGACCAAGCCUUUUUUUUUUUUUCUCUUGUUGGAAUGAGGAUGAAUUUUUCCUGCUAAUUCCUGAAAAGGAUCCCACCAGUCCUCAGGCCAAAAAGAAGUGAAGAAAAGUCCCAGUGAAGGAAAGCCCCAAGGGUAGGAACCACUUCUGGUUGCAAAGCUGACAGCACUUUCGCUCUUGGGGAAGCUGAGAAAUGUGCCAAGAACCUGGAAGGCUCCACGUUUCAGCAAAGACUGAAGAAUAGCAAGAAAAAGGAAGUUAGAAGGUGACAGGGUGCUUUAAAACUUAUAUUGAGGUGCACAGUUGUUGUAAACUGUUUUUUCUAAACCUUGCAAAGCCUCAUGUUACUACAUCUCUGCUUUCUGUAGUUCCCUCAUCAAGCAGUGUUUUGGGCUGUGUUUCUUUAUAUUCUGUUUGCUCAUGCAGAUGUCUGAUUUGGGGCAAAAUCCUGCUGUUCUGCCUGUUUCUCCUUUUCAUCAUGUCCCGUGAGUUGCUCCUACAUAGUUUAUAUGGAGUAGACAUAUGAAGCUGCCUUUCCAAAGCAGCAUAAACCUUCCCUUCCGAAGUGCUCAGACAAGGUAUGUUUUACAGCUUCCCCCCGACACAUGACUGCCAUUUGGUUUGAGUCUGCUUACACUAAUCACCCAGGCAUGUCUCAGUGAGUACAAGCAUAACAAAGUGGCAGUCAGUAACAUGAAUACAUUGAAAAUGAAUAUAUUGCACUUAUGAAAGUAAAUAUUGAGCAACUUGAAACUUAAACAUAGUCCAGAAGGCUCUGCUACAAACACCCCUCAGAUCACGCCUCUGAGAAAGUCACCAAAGUCAGAAGCAACUGCAGAGCUGCAAAGCUUUAUAUACAGUUUUUCUUGACACGACGCCAGGAGAGGGUCCGUUUGCAAAUCACUGAUGUAAACUAGGAUUUCUGGUAACUCCAAAAUAGGCCAGCGUUACAAUGCGUAGUUUCAUCUCCUCUUUAAGUGCGACAAACCUUUGUGGGAGCUGUUGCUCUUCUACAAGUUACUUGUCGCUGUCCACAGCAAUUGCCUUCCCCACACUUUCUCUGGAGAAAAAGUUCAUCGCUGGGACUGUAUCUGCUUUUAUUCUGAAGGUUAAUAACUAUUUUCUUUGCAAGAAAGCAACUGUCUUGCCAUUUUAUUAUUAUUAAUUUUUUUUGGCCGUAAUCCUAAAUGGAAUAAAGGCAAGAGUUUUCAUAUACUAGAUAUUUGAAGGCUUUGAAGAUUUCACUUCACAGAACAAGUAAUUUUAGAGUUUCUGACAGAUGGAUUUUCUGUGGUCUGAGGAAGAAAGGGCAGAGAGGCAGCAGCAAAGGGUACCAUGCUUAGAGAGAUAUCCAGUUGUGCUGAUGAAGCACGUAUAGCGAAAGGGAGAAAUGCUGGCUAGGGUAGGGCUAAUUCAGUAGGAAGAGAUCAACACCAUGGGCAGCAUGCCAAGAAGCAACAAUAAGGGAUACGUGUCUGGCUGCAAAAUGGAACUUGGGAAAUACAUUUUCCUAGCAUUGCUAAGUAGGUGUUAAUUCAUUAAGAGAGUCUACAUCAAAAGAUGCUACUGCUUGUUAUGGUAUUACAGCUAAAGGAUUGUCAUUUCAGCUCCCUGUUUUUGCAAUUUUUGCACAUUCAGUCCCUCCAAUCCAACAAAAGAUCAGAAAAAACAAUGAAGGAUUGAUUGUAAGGUUGGGUUGACAAUGGGUAAAAGGUUGACAAGUAAUUGGUGGGAAAAGCAUCGACAAAUAAUGGCUGUGCACGUGCAAACAGUCUCAGUGUCUGUCAGUAUGACGGACAGACACCUUCUACCACAGAAGUAGGAUGGUUAGCCUAACGUUCAGUGGGCAGUCUGCUUCUAAACAGCAGGGACAGCCAAAUGUAGAUCUGGUUUGGAAAAUAAAUUUACCAAAAGUGAAGAUGCAGAGAUGUCCUGUCUUAAAGGAACAUAUAAGCCAUGAAAUCCCCUUCUUUGUUUAGGAAGUUUAGGAAGACUCCAAACAGAUCCUAAAUUCAGCAGAGCUUUGAGUCCUCGCAAAAAUACCAUCAAUAAUAAAAAAAAUUCUGAAGUUAAGGAAAAGCUGCUUGCUGAAUUUGUUUCUUGAUGAAUUUUCUUGCUACCUCAAUAGCUUUUUUAAUUAAAUAAAAAGCAUUAAUUCUCCCCUGUCCAUUCCAGCUGUGCAAGAGAUGGAAUGCAAACAAGCGCGAGCAGGGAAGAAGCGACGCUUUCACAGAACAACACCGGCACGCCUGCUAUGGCUGAGCUGACUGCUGCUGCUCCUGCUGUUAUUCCCCAAAAUACCAUUUUGAAGAGGCAGGUUUUUUGUAAGAAUGUGGUGGUCUCUCCCACCCCAGGUGAAGUUAUCAGUAAGUUAGGCAGUAGCACAUGGGAAAAGAAAAGGCUUCAGAUAUCUAAAAAAAAUCAGAGUAACUAUUAUUCUUUCAAGGUAAAAAUAGCCAUGUUAGGCUGUACCCAUCCCACUUGCCUUUUGAUAUCUCAGCUGUAAUCAGAGAAGCAGGACCCUCUGCCAAAGUCUCCGGUAUCUGGGGGAAUGAUCAUUCAAGGUGACAAAAACUUAGUCCUGACCAAGUCAGGUGUCAGAAGGUGAAAGGCUGCAUCCAUUAACAAUGUGAGUUCUUAUCUGCACUGUCAUCCUUAACCACAGGGAGACGUGGUCAGACCUCCCUUCCAUCGGCACCUCAGCCAAUCUUGCUGAAUUAUGUCUUCUGAAGUUUGAAAGCUUUUGUCUGCAGAGGCUUGACCCUCCACUAACAGCUGAAAGCUGGGUUUGAAAAAAAUCGAGCCUUAAAAUUCCAACUGGAAAGUGAAUGUGAGCUUUUUACCUUGUCGUUUCACAGUCAAAGCACACGGCAUUCAAAGAAAAAGCCAGAAAGAUGGGAGGCAUGCAAGGGAUGAAGAGAGAAGAGUUUUCCCUUUUUUUAAAUGAAGUAAUUAGCUUAGUAAGUACAGGAGGAGGAGAGAAAAGAAAGGGAGAUCCUUUUGUUAAGCAUUUAUAAUACGAUCCUCUCUCCUGCCAGGUGUGCUUGCAAGAUGUUACCAGAUUGCAUGCACUGAUGAAGGCAAGGAGCAGGGCACCACUAAAUUAUCUCCAAAGGCACCCAUCUGGGGAAUCCUCGUUUCUAAAAGCAGAAGAUGUUCUGUCUGCAUGCAGUGCAUUUUUUUCAGGGGCUGGCAGUCACAGUGGACACCACCGGCUUUCCUGUAGCAAACAUGGUUUUAAAUAAUGGAUGGAAACCUUUGGUUACAACGGGCAGUUUCCCAGGCUUUUACAGCUGUUAUGAUUAGCACUUUGAUUAGGAUGGGACAAGGACUGGGGAGCUGGCAAGCACUGAAACAAACCAAAAGCCCUGAAGAUAUUGAAGUUCCCAUGAAGUAGUUCUCUGCGUGUUGGAUAAUCUUUAGCCAAACAAAUCUUCUAUACAAUAAAACUUCAAUGUAUUCAGCGAAUGCUCAGAA